rnacentral:rRNA from 1 species
CAGUCGCCACGGGAAUACGAAGGGUGCAAGCGUUACUCGGAAUUACUGGGCGUAAAGCGUGCGUAGGUGGUGGUUUAAGUCCGUUGUGAAAGCCCUGGGCUCAACCUGGGAAUUGCAGUGGAUACUGGGUCACUAGAGUGUGGUAGAGGAUAGUGGAAUUUCCGGUGUAGCAGUGAAAUGCGUAGAGAUCGGAAGGAACAUCUGUGGCGAAGGCGACUAUCUGGGCCAACACUGACACUGAGGCACGAAAGCGUGGGGAGCAAACAGGAUUAGAUACCCCAGUAGUCCCUGUCUCUUAUAC